rnacentral:rRNA from 1 species
GGGUUAGUAGGUUGGUCAUGCCUCUGGUAUGUACUGGUCUCACUGAUUCCUCCUUCCUGAUGAACUGUAAUGCCAUUAAUUUGAUGUCGUGGAGAAUCAGGACUGUUACUUUGAAAAAAUUAGAGUGUUUAAAGCAGGCUUUCGCUUGAAUACAUUAGCAUGGAAUAAUGAAAUAGGACGUUUGAUCCUAUUUUGUUGGUUUCUAGGAUUGACGUA